UGCCACCUUCUCUGGCUCUAGCUGACACAUUUUACAAGGAGGUCAGCCUCCGAGCCCUCAGCUGGGCAAUCACGUGGCUGCCUGGGCCUGGUACUGGGCCAGCCUGGCCUCCGCCGUCUGUGCUUGCUCCUUGGGGUUCUGUCCGUCUUCUCUGGGUGGGACCAUCCAGAAAGAUCCCUGUUAUCUGGAAGCAGAAGGAAGAACUUUCUGUGCUCCCACUUGGCUGGGUCAGGGAGCGACUCCUCGCUCCUCAUAAGGCAUGGUAAACCUUGGCUCUGCCCCUGCCUAUACCCCGCACAGAGCAAGGCAGAGGCCUGCUGGCCUGGACUCCCCCACAGAGUCCAGGGGAGGAAGCUCAGAUGGCUCUUCAGAUGGUAAAGCCUGUUUUACAAAUCC
rnacentral:lncRNA from 12 species